rnacentral:rRNA from 1 species
AGAACGAACGCUGGCGGCAGGCUUAACACAUGCAAGUCGAACGGUUGUAGCAAUACAGCAGUGGCGCACGGGUGAGUAACGCGUGGGAACAUCCCUUUCAGUUCGGAAUAACCUCGGGAAACUGAGGCUAAUACCGGAUAUUCUCUUCGGAGGAAAGAUUUAUCGCUGAAAGAUUGGCCCGCGUCAGAUUAGCUAGUUGGUGGGGUAAUGGCCUACCAAGGCUCCGAUCUGUAGCUGGUCUGAGAGGACGACCAGCCACACUGGAACUGAGACACGGUCCAGACUCCUACGGGAGGCAGCAGUGGGGAAUAUUGGACAAUGGGCGAAAGCCUGAUCCAGCCAUGCCGCGUGAAUGAUGAAGGCCUUAGGGUUGUAAAGUUCUUUUGCCAGGGAAGAUAAUGACGGUACCUGGAGAAUAAGCACCGGCUAACUUCGUCGCCAGCAGCCGC